rnacentral:lncRNA from 1 species
GAGACACAAUGCCUCUGGAACUUGUUGUAGAAGCAAUUUCCUUGUGUAUGACUGUUUUCUCAACAAGAAUGAAACAUCCGUAGGAGACAAGUACACUGCAAAUGAUGGGCCAUGCAGAAUAUUCCUACUGGGGCAGACUGAUCUCUAAGUCUGAGAUAGUUACCUUGAUGAAUAAAGGGCCAUUGCCAUCUUCUUUACAUGGAGAAUCUGGCAGCCAGCAGAAAACAGGAAGAGAUCACCAAUGUGGUUCUAAGGGAACAGCCAGCCAGUACCUAGAGGCGAAUGGAGUUCUUGCUACAAAGUUUUUUGGCCUAUUCCUUGUCCGUACAGAUGCCUAGCCCUAAAGGUUAGGAACAUCCAGAGUAUACAGACCAGAAGCAGGUACAAGUGGCUCCAGCUGAAUUCCCAAAGCCUGCAGGAGUAUUAAGAAAAAGGAAUCAAGGAGACAGCUUCCAUGUGUUCAGAAUUCCUGAGGACUUCUUAUGAGGGUAACUUCCUCAUGUAUGACUGCUUCCUCUCUCUGGGGCAGAGUCUGGUGGAAGUGCCUGAUCAUGUUUAGUAUGGGUACAGGAUCUAAGUGGUCAUGGAGGACAAAGGAAUUCCAAAGGGGAGAUAAUCAUUAUCAGGAAUCAAGUAAACAAUAUGAGCAGCAGGUACCCCCCAGUACACUGGAACAUCCGGAACUGACCCAGGCAGCAGGAGCAGAUACUUUAUUACCAGAGUCUGAUGAGAACUAUGGACAACUUCAAAUCUUGCUCUUGACCAAAUGGUUUUCAGCAGGAAAACCUCAACUCCUUUGAAUUCUUUCAGUUCAUGAGUCUGGACCAGAGGAAUAAAAGACAUGGGAAUUUUAGUUCUGUUAUUAAA